UAGUUAUGUUAACUUUAUUUUAAAUGUAAAGAGAUAAAACAGAUUUAUUUAUGUAAACUUUAUUGUGAAUAAAAAGAGAUCACAAAACAGAUUCAGUUAUGUAAACUUUAUGGUGAAUUUAAAGAGACCACAAUGCAUUUAGUGAUGUGAACUUUAAUGUAAAAUAUAUUGUAAAUAUAAAGAGAUCUCAAAAGAUUUAGUCAUGUAAACUAUAUUGUGAACAUAAAAAGAUCUCAAAAGAUUUAGUUAUGUAUGUAUGUAAGACUAUUGUGAAUGUAAAGAGGUCACAGUAGAUUGGAUAUAUAAGUAAUAAGACUAUUGUGAAUGUGAAGAGGUCACAAUAGAUUUUAGAUAUUAUGUAAGACUAUUGUGAAUGUAAAGAGGUCACAGUAGACUAUUGUGAAUAUGAAGAGGUCACAGUAGAUAUGAUAUGAUAAGACUAUUGUUAAUUAUUGAUGACUUGAUAUUUUAAAAGAGUACCGAGAGUUUUUUACGCCGGCUUUUUCUCUCGGCCUACACCCCAUGUCUUCUUUGCCGAUGAAUAGGGAUUUCUACCGAUACAUAUUUAAUGACGUGAAAUAGGUGAUACCUGUAUCUUUUAUUCCAUUAUAAAUAAACAUAAAUUAAAUUUAGGUUCAAUUUAACUAAAGAGAUGUAAUUCAAGAAUGAAAGUUAAAAGAUACAUAGAAUUAAUUUUGUUUCUGUUUUGAGUUGUAAUUUACAAAGCAUUGUUUUUGUUUUUCUUUUUUUUGCGAGACGCAAACAUUGUCAGGAAAGGCCGACUGUUAGCUUUUAUUAUUUAUUUAAUAAUAUUCUAAAUAAUUUAUGAAACAUAUUCUUUUGCUACAAGUGCGCAUGUGCAAUAAUUACUCAUUUGACUCGUUCGGUUAUUUACGAAUUGUUACGAAUUGACUCGAAUAACUGCCCGAAGUGGGAAGGUCGAGUCAGAGUGGGGACUAAAGGAUAAAACAGCUUGUAGCACAUGCGCACAGGCAAUUCCUUUGUUCAAGUUGGUGUUUAUACAUUUUACGUAGGGUCAGUGUGUGAAAUAUAGUAAAUCAAGUCAUCA